rnacentral:rRNA from 1 species
AGAGUUUGNUCAUGGCUCAGAACGAACGCUGGCGGCAGGCCUAACACAUGCAAGUCGAACGAAGCCUUCGGGCUUAGUGGCGGACGGGUGAGUAACGCGUGGGAACGUGCCCUUCUCUACGGAAUAGUCCUGGGAAACUGGGUUUAAUACCGUAUACGCCCUUCGGGGGAAAGAAUUUCGGGGAAGGAUCGGCCCGCGUUGGAUUAGGUAGUUGGUGGGGUAAUGGCCUACCAAGCCGACGAUCCAUAGCUGGUUUGAGAGGAUGAUCAGCCACACUGGGACUGAGACACGGCCCAGACUCCUACGGGAGGCAGCAGUGGGGAAUCUUAGACAAUGGGGGCAACCCUGAUCUAGCCAUGCCGCGUGAGUGACGAAGGCCCUAGGGUCGUAAAGCUCUUUCGCCAGGGAUGAUAAUGACAGUACCUGGUAAAGAAACCCCGGCUAACUCCGUGCCAGCAGCCGCGGUAAUACGGAGGGGGUUAGCGUUGUUCNGGAAUUACUGGGCGUAAAGCGCGCGUAGGCGGACUAUUAAGUCAGAGGUGAAAUCCCGGGGCUCAACCCCGGAACUGCCUUUGAUACUGGUAGUCUUGAGUUCGAGAGGGGUGAGUGGAAUUCCGAGUGUAGAGGUGAAAUUCGUAGAUAUUCGGAGGA